GGAAACCUCUCAGGAGACAGCUAGUC
rnacentral:piRNA from 1 species